CCCAUGCUUAAUUUCACUGGUUUGUUUCACAUGUUGUUGGCACUGCUUUCUCUCAGUGUGCUGUAACGUAGCAAAUACCAGAACACAAUUUUAUUGUGUACAAUAUUUCUUGGGGUAGGUGGUUCACUAUAAGUUAUAUAAUGAUGUAUAAUACAGGAAAUGAGGCAUAAGAGAGAGAGGAAAAAAGUACACAGAAGCAGUGUUCAAUUUAAUUUUAAUUUUAUUUUUUUGCUAGCUUAAAUAAGAAAAUGCAAAACAAAUAACCCAGUGGGUCCACGGGCGAAGAAAACAGUUCUGCACCUCUAAAUAGAAUAUUGAUUUUUUCAAAAAGGAGAACUAUUACAAUUUCCCUUAUAUUCUGUUGUGUAUAUACACCAGCAGUAGCUGCUUGUAUUAAUCAUGACAAAUCCUUAUGAAUAUCCUUCUGUAAAUACUUGACUUUAGAUAAUUUUUUCUACUUUUGGUUCUAUGAUGUCAUAAAAGGGGGCAUGAUGAAGCGUAGCAGCUGCUCCCGUGGGCAAAUCUUUCACCAUCUUCACUUUUAGAAGUCCUGUAGCUGCUGAAUAAGCUGUUUUUUUUUUUUUUUUUUUUUUAGCAAGUGUAACUGAUGUCAUUGCACUUUUAAAUUCAUAUCAAAGUAUCAAUAAGAACAGAAUAAAAACAGAGAGGAUCAUGAUUCCUGACCUUAUAUUAGUUUGGGAGGCAUAUUCCUCAACUCAAGGCUAUAUAUCAGAUACAGUUCAGACACACCUGAGUUGGGAUUUAGGUAACAGCAUCUAAUUUUUUUUUUUUUUUUAGCUAGUUUAUGAGUGAGUGCUAUAUUAGAGAAGCUGUUGUUACAAGAAAAACUCUCAAAACAAAACAAGACGGGCACAUUUCAUAUUUAUUUUUUAUGCAUCAUUCACCUUCUUUGAAUAAUUUUUUUUUUUUACCUGGAUAAAUAAAGGAUUAAUAAUAAAAAAUAUUAUUUGCUUUUUGUUUUAUUUCUGUUUAAGCGUACCAGUAAGAUAUCUGAUUGAAUGUGGGGAUGCAUCACUAAUGGAGACAUAAACAACAUUGCUGCUGUUUUCUUUGUUUGGGUUUAUUGGAAUAAGUUGUUGAUUGCAGAUGAGCUUUAUGCUUAUUGAUACAGAUCAAUAAACAAUUACUGGCCUCUUUGC
ensembl:lncRNA